rnacentral:tRNA from 1 species
GGGAAGGUGGCUCAGUGGUAGAGUGCUUGCCUUGCAUGCAUGAAGCCCUGGGUUUGAUUCCUCUGUACCA